GACGAACGCUGGCGGCACGCUUAACACAUGCAAGUCGAACGGAGAACAUUGAGCUUGCUUAAUGUUCUUAGUGGCGGACGGGUGAGUAACACGUGAGUAACCUGCCUCUGAGAGUGGGAUAGCUUCUGGAAACGGAUGGUAAUACCGCAUAACAUCAUGGAUUCGCAUGUUUCUAUGAUCAAAGAUUUAUCGCUCAGAGAUGGACUCGCGUCUGAUUAGAUAGUUGGUGAGGUAACGGCCCACCAAGUCGACGAUCAGUAGCCGGACUGAGAGGUUGACCGGCCACAUUGGGACUGAGACACGGCCCAGACUCCUACGGGAGGCAGCAGUGGGGAAUAUUGCACAAUGGGGGAAACCCUGAUGCAGCGAUGCCGCGUGGAGGAAGAAGGUUUUCGGAUUGUAAACUCCUGUCGAAGAGGACGAUAAUGACGGUACUCUUUAAGAAAGCUCCGGCUAACUACGUG
rnacentral:rRNA from 1 species